ensembl:snRNA U2 U2 spliceosomal RNA
AUCGCUUCUCGGCCUUUUGGCUAAGAUCAAGUGUAAAAAUAGAGCGGCAAAAUUUUAAGUUAUGUAUAUUUUACUACACUUU